CUCAGUCCCGCCCAACAGGAGCCCAGCUCUGGCAGGAGGGGCAGGUUGGCACCUCUACACAGCAGCCGGGAGCAUAGAGACCUCUCACCCAUCACCUGCCAUAAACCACUAGUCAUGGAGGAUGGACUCCCAGGCCACAGACUGACCAGGACUCAGACGCAGGGUCUUGUUCUGUCACCCAGGCUGAAGUGCAGUGGCAAGAUAAUAACUUGCUGCAACCUUGAACUCCUGGGCUCAAGUGAUGCUCCUACCUCAGCCCCUCAAGUAGCUGGGACCACAGGACUGUCUCCUGGCCCAGACCCAGACAGCUCACAGCUGAGGAGGAACAAAGCAGAGGAAAGGGACGUGGCGUGACAUGCUGGGAGUGAAACGCUGACACCUCCGUGGCCAUCUGGGACCACGGCCUGCACUACUGCCCUCACACCCGGACCUGGAGCUGCCACUUCCUGCCUGCUUCCCAGAAUAGCUGGGCACAUCCUCUGAGCAGGCUGCCCUGCCUUCCCCUGCCUCUGCUCAGGAGAGAGACUCCUCCUAGGACACCAAACAGCCCCCCACACAGCACAGACCCAGCCUCCCAGCCACCGGCCACUCACUGGAGCAAAGGGAGCCAAGUCUGGCUUUGGACAGGAAGAUGGGGUUUGCCAGGCAAGGGGUGCAGAGAUGCUGAACUUGAACA